CGUUCCCAAAGAUCGAGGUGUUCGGUAACAGACGAGGACCUCAGAAGGCAGGACCGGGGAAUCCGGCCCUUUGGGCUCACCAAUCUACGUCUCUCUCCCAGGGUCAGGUUCCGCCACCCCAAAUGGGUUUCAGCCAGGAUCAGUGGAGAAACCCCAGGAACGGAAGAGUUUGAUCAGAGAGACGCUCCCGGCUUCUCGGCCACUCACCCGGAGGAGUGUUUGGUUUUGAGCCCCCGCUUUUCGCCCACACCCUUUCCGGCUCUAUGGCUUGCCGACUCAGUCACGGGGAGAAGCCCCGUGAAGCCCAACUUGGGGUAGGAUGAUGAAGGGAGGAAUCUGACCGGCGAUUACUCUCCAAACAGAUGGUACUCGGUGAAUCACCCUGGCCAUGAGGACCGUCUCCUUACCGUGUGGGCACGGUCAAGUCAAUCUCCAGACUUGCCCCACCAGUGAGGGAUUGAACAGUGCGGGCCAAGGAUUUUUGGGGGGGUCUGUGUGUGUAAAAUGAGGUUAGCUUUUGGGGAAGGAUAGUUAGGAGGAGGCUCUCGAUCUCGGUGUGGAGGCUGCUUCCGGAAACAAGGCCCGGGACUCCGUGCAGCGAACCGGCUCUAUCUGGCCCGACUUUGAGACCGAGAAUUCUAGAGAUGGGUCACACCUCCUUCCAACCACAGUCCCGUCUUCGGGGUUCAUCCGCAGACCGUCAGGCCCCGGCGAAGAGACCCGUCUGGGACUGCCAGUGGUGGCUUAUGGGAGGCCUAUGUCUGCAGAGGGCGAGGAAGUACUUCACCGUGUCCACUCUCUUCCUGGCCGACGAGCAGAGUUCUGCGAACGGGUCAUCACCGGUGCGGACGAGGAGUGCAGAAGCUUGGAGGCCCCCGACUGUCCCGGAGACAUCAGCAUCUGGUGAUUCGGAAGCGGUUCUCGCCUGAGGACUGAGGGCAGGCCGAGAGGGACAAACCUGGGGAUCGCAGAGGGACACGUUCCCGCCGAGGUUUCGGAUGCCCGUCGGCCAGGACUUGCGGCGCGACUCCGAUGGAUGGUCCCCCACCUUGAUCGGACCGACGCUCCGGGGUCCGGUACCGUGUUGCCAGAGGAGGCCUCGGCGGCAAGUCUCCGGAGUCGUUCAUUCAAACGGCUCCGAUACUCGGUGGGAAGUUUCGCGGCCUCGAGUCCCCACCGUCCACGGUUUGGAGUGGAAUGGGAGAGGGGAGACCCGGACUAGCUAUUACUUUCUCUACAGAGAGUACGGUACUUUCUCUUCGGUCUCUUUCCAUGGUUAAAAUCUGCCCCUUGGUCUCCAUUCAAACCGCUACCCCAUUAAUGCAAGCACUCAUCCUAUCCGCCCCGACGAUCCUAUCAGCCUCCUCGCCGACCUUCCGUCCGGGCCAUGCUCCGGUCUGCUCCCCGGACAGUUUUCUUACAAAAACGUUCAUACCAAGUUUCCCUGCUGUCCGAAAAACUCCAGCAGUUGACCAUCCACCUCUGCAACAAACAAAACUCACCCCUACUGCUCUGUCACAUCGCUAUUCUCCAAGUACCACCCAGCCCACACACUCUGUUCCUCUAACGCCAACCCUCAUGACGUCACCUAUCUCCCCGCCGACCCGUUCCAACAUCCUCCUUCCCCCCGUCGGACUGAUGAUUCCUGUCCGCCAUUUCGGAGCCUCACCGAAGAUGUAUCUCCACUAAGAAGCCUCACCUGAGCCCUCUUCUUCCGCUCCCUUAUGCAUCACCCUGACUUAGGGUCUUUAUUCAUUCUCCCUCCCAUCCCCACAGCCCAUGUGUGUAUGUCUAUCUAUCUACCUAGCUGUAAUUUAUUUAUUUAGUGAUUCGUGUAUGUAAAUGCCUGUCUGCCCCGCUCCCCCCACCCCUUCUAGACUGUGAGCUCUAUGAGCAGGGAAUGUCUGUCUGUCGUUUGCGUCGUACUCUCACGAGUGCUUAGUACAGUCAAUUCUCCAGAAAUAUGACUCUAUGAAAAUCCA